rnacentral:lncRNA from 1 species
UUUUAUGUAGAGAUAAAAAAAAAACAUAUAUUACUAAACAUGCUUGUAUUAAAUGUGUGUCAUCAUUAUUUAUAUUGAUGUAAGUGCUUAACAAGAGAGGAGAUGAUCAUGGUAACAAGAAAGUCGGUUCAUCUAGAUAGGCAAAGAGCUGGAGUGAGAGAAAAAGGAAAAAGGAAGCUUAAGGUAAGUAUUCGGGACGUGCUGGGCUGAAUGCUUAAAAGUUGCCAAAAAGGGAGAGAAGAGUUUCUUGUCAUUGUGUGUUGGGGUGUAUAUAGGGGGAAAAGAACCCCAUGUUCGGUAGUGGCAUGUCGUUGACAAACUCAGGAUAUGGAGAAUGUGUGAUCAGUCAAGUGAUAAGAUUGUUAUACCUUAGUUGUCAUCAAGUAUAGUAUUAUUUUGACAUUCUCUUUUUUUAGAUAAUACAAAGUUGCUAGUCUUAGUAGUUCCCUCUUGGGGAAUAAAUGCAUACCUACUAAA